AACGAACGCUGGCGGCAGGCCUAACACAUGCAAGUCGAACGCCCCGCAAGGGGAGUGGCAGACGGGUGAGUAACACGUGGGAACCUACCUUGUGGUACGGAACAACCAAGGGAAACUUUGGCUAAUACCGUAUGAGCCCGAGAGGGGAAAGAUUUAUCGCCAUAAGAUGGGCCCGCGUCGGAUUAGCUAGUUGGUGAGGUAAUGGCUCACCAAGGCGACGAUCCGUAGCUGGUCUGAGAGGAUGACCAGCCACACUGGGACUGAGACACGGCCCAGACUCCUACGGGAGGCAGCAGUGGGGAAUAUUGGACAAUGGGCGCAAGCCUGAUCCAGCCAUGCCGCGUGUGUGAUGAAGGCCUUAGGGUUGUAAAGCACUUUCGCCGAUGAAGAUAAUGACGGUAGUCGGAGAAGAAGCCCCGGCUAACUUCGUGCCAGCCGCCGCGGUAACAC
rnacentral:rRNA from 1 species